CACACACACACACACACACACACCAUUGAACGGCAGAUGGAAACACAUGCAAGGACAGUCAUCAAUGCAAGACCACUUAUAUCCGAUCACUGUAGUGUCUGGCAGGGAUUCUUCUGUCCAGGAAGCUGUGCUAUGCCGGGGGAGUUGUGCCAUAUCAGAUUACUACUGCUGCCAUUGGCUUCUCCUUACAGAUUUUCCUGCUAAAUGUUGUACAGAUCGAGGCCUUCUAUGUUUCUCUGAUCCUGUUUGUGAGUCGGGCCUGGGAUGCUGUAACAGACCCACUGGUGGGGUACUUGGUGAGCCGCAGUAGCUGGACACCCAUUGGCAAACUCAUGCCAUGGGUGGUUCUCGCUAUGCCUUUUGGGGUCCUCUCCUAUGUCCUGCUGUGGUUCAUGCCCCAAGGCGCCAUGUCUCAAGCCUUCAGUGUUCCCUGGUACCUCACAGCAAGCUGCCUGUUUGAGACCCUCA